rnacentral:rRNA from 1 species
UACGGAGGGUGCAAGCGUUGCUCGGAAUUAUUGGGCGUAAAGGGUAGGUAGGUGGUCUUAUUUGUGUGGGGUGAAAGCCUUGGGCUUAACUCAAGAAGUGCCCCGCAAACGGUAAGACUGGAGUCUUGGAGAGGCUAGCGGAAUUCCCGGUGUAGCGGUGAAAUUCGUAGAUAUCGGGAGGAACACCAGUGGCGAAGGCGGCGAUCUGGGAAGAUACUGACGCUGAGGUGCGAAAGCGUGGGGAGCAAACAGG